rnacentral:tRNA from 1 species
GGAGGCGUGCCAGAGUGGUUGAAUGGGCCGCACUCGAAAUGCGGUAUCCCAUUUUUGGGAUCGGAGGUUCGAAUCCUCCCGCCUCCGCCA